UAGGGAAUCUUCCGCAAUGGACGCAAGUCUGACGGAGCAACGCCGCGUGAGUGAAGAAGGAUUUCGGCUCGUAAAACUCUGUUGUUAGAGAAGAACAGCGCAUAGAGUAACUGUUAUGCGUGUGACGGUAUCUAACCAGAAAGCCACGGCUAACUACGUGCCAGCAGCCGCGGUAAUACGUAGGUGGCAAGCGUUGUCCGGAUUUAUUGGGCGUAAAGCGAGCGCAGGCGGUCAAUUAAGUCUGAUGUGAAAGCCCCCGGCUCAACCGGGGAGGGUCAUUGGAAACUGGUUGACUUGAGUGCAGAAGAGGAGAGUGGAAUUCCAUGUGUAGCGGUGAAAUGCGUAGAUAUAUGGAGGAACACCAGUGGCGAAGGCGACUCUCUGGUCUGUAACUGACGCUGAGGUUCGAAAGCGUGGGUAGCAAACAGG
rnacentral:rRNA from 1 species